GGCUCAGUGGUGGACGGUCCACACCCAUGAUUCAUACCCUGUAUUUAAUGCUGCAUUGAUGUGGGAAUCGCCCGUUCGACUCGGGCCCGAGCCA